rnacentral:rRNA from 1 species
GACUGGAGGGCCAAGGGAGCCGUCACUCCUGUCAAGGAUCAAGGCCAGUGUGGCUGCUGUUGGGCAUUUUCUGCUGUUGCCGCGACAGAGGGCAUUGUAAAACUGAAAACCGGGAAGUUGAUCUCACUGUCGGAGCAAGAGUUGGUUGACUGUGAUGUUCAUGGUCAAGAUCAAGGCUGCGAGGGAGGACUCAUGGAUGAUGCCUUCAAAUUCAUUAUCAAGAAUGGAGGCCUUACUAUGGAGUCAAGCUACCCAUAUACUGCAGCUGACGGCAAGUGCAAGGCUGGAUCCAACAGUGCCGCAACCAUCACCGGCUUUGAGGAUGUGCCUGCCAAUAACGAGGGUGCCCUUAUGAAGGCGGUGGCAAACCAACCAGUGUCUGUAGCUGUGGACGGAGGAGACAUGACGUUCCAAUUCUACUCUGGUGGGGUGAUGACUGGGUCCUGCGGCACUGACUUGGACCAUGGAAUUGCAGCCAUUGGAUAUGGAAAGACUAGUGAUGGCACGAGCUAUUGGUUGAUGAAGAAUUCAUGGGGCACAACUUGGGGCGAAGAUGGGUACUUGAGAAUGGAGAAAGACAUUGCAGACAAGAAGGGCAUGUGUGGUCUUGCCAUGGAGCCUUCUUACCCAACAAAAUAG